UACGGAGGGUGCAAGCGUUGUCCGGAUUUAUUGGGUUUAAAGGGUGCGUAGGCGGAUCUUUAAGUCAGUGGUGAAAUCCUGCAGCUUAACUGUAGAACUGCCAUUGAUACUGGAGGUCUUGAGUAUACUAGAGGUAGGCGGAAUUUAUGGUGUAGCGGUGAAAUGCAUAGAUACCAUAAAGAACACCAAUAGCGUAGGCAGCUUACUUGAGUAUAACUGACGCUGAGGCACGAAAGCAUGGGUAGCGAACAGG
rnacentral:rRNA from 1 species